GUUCAUAUGAUGAUUUUAACUGUUCAACUGCUGUGUGACUAAAGUGUGAACUAACAUUUAAACAUCUGAUGGGA
ensembl:snoRNA